rnacentral:rRNA from 1 species
AAGUGGAUUUGCGAAAUGAAGGAGCACAUUAGAACUCUGCAAUUAAGCAUGCUUGGGUGAGAGUAGUACUAAGUUGGGAAACCACUUGGGAAGUUGUCGUGUUGCACAUU